rnacentral:rRNA from 1 species
UUCCCCUAGUAGCGGCGAGCGAAGCGGGAAGAGCUCAAAUUUAUAAUCUGGCACCUUCGGUGUCCGAGUUGUAAUCUCUAGAAGUGUUUUCCGCGUUGGACCGCACACAAGUCUGUUGGAAUACAGCGGCAUAGUGGUGAAACCCCCGUAUAUGGUGCGGACGCCCAGCGCUUUGUGAUACACUUUCAAUGAGUCGAGUUGUUUGGGAAUGCAGCUCAAAUUGGGUGGUAAAUUCCAUCUAAAGCUAAAUAUUGGCGAGAGACCGAUAGCGAACAAGUACCGUGAGGGAAAGAUGAAAAGCACUUUGGAAAGAGAGUUAACAGUACGUGAAAUUGUUGGAAGGGAAACGCUUGAAGUCAGACUUGCUUGCCGGAGCUUGCUUCGGUUUGCAGGCCAGCAUCAGUUUUCCGGGGUGGAUAAUAACGGUUUGAAGGUAGCAGUCUCGGCUGUGUUAUAGCUUUCCGUUGGAUACAUC